AUGGAGAGAAUUUUAAUCGGUGAUAUGCAUGACGGUGCCACUAAUCUAGUUCAGAGCUCGGUUCGUCUGUUGAACAACAUGAAGCGUUUUAGAACUACGCAAAACUCUCGCUGCAAGCCAUAUGAAGAAAGUGCAAAUGUUAUUAUCAAACAGUUUGAGCAGGAUGAGGCUGCUGCCACCGACAGCAGGGCUGGUGAUGGUACUGAGGCUAAUGUUCUUGAUCACGAAAUGAAUGAUGUUGGCUUUGAGCGUCCUGAUGUUGAUAUUGAUCACGAUGAGGCUGCUGGCACCGACAGUAGGGCUGAUGAUGGUACUGAGGCUAAUGUUUCUGAUCAGCGUAUGAACGAUGUUGGCUCGCAGCACCCUGUUGUUGAUGAGACCAGUCAUAUUGUUGAGGUUGUUGUUGAUGGUGGAGUUAAUGAUCCAUCCACUGAUAAGUUCAAGGGUCCUAUUGUUGGCGAUGAGCCUUGUUUGCCUGUUGGUGAUGUUGCUUUGAAUGUUAGCAGCAGCAAGAUCGAUGAUGUUGCUGUUAAUGCUUCCAAGAUUACUGAUGUUGAGCGUGAGGUUGUCCUUAGUGGUGGAGAUGAUGCUCGUGAUGUUCCAUUGAGUAGCGGGCGCAGUGUUGGUACCAAAGUUGCUGAUGAGGAUGCUAGUGCUGCGAGUAUACUUGAUGCCAAAUCGCCUCGUGUUGGUAUUGCUGGGAAAGAAAAUGUUUCUGGUUGUGAAGAUUUGCCGCCGGAGAAUUUCCCGCCUGGAGGUCUUGAUUACGGUGAUGCAUGGCAAGAUGCUUCUAGCUUGGAGGAGGUGCCAUCCGAUGAUGAUGAUUUACUUCUGUCAAUUUCUUCUGACCCCUUGGCAAGAUGCUUCUAUUGUCGUCCCAGGAUUUUCUUUCUACAGACCCUGAAAGCGCAUCAAUAUUGGUGUCCUCUCAAGAUGUCCCAUCGUCAAACCCUGAAACUGAAGGCAAAAUGGUCUCAUCACAGGAACUACCGUCAUCGUCAAACCCUGAUAGUCCAGAAAGUGGUAAUGUUGUUAAGGUAUAUGUUUUUCUUCGCUGUUACGAGGUUGCGCACGAACCGUACAAAAUGUCACAAGCCGAUGUUUCAAAAUAAAGAAUGUGAUGCCAGUGUUGGUUCUAUUGCUAAAGCGUUUGUCCCCACUGGCAUGCUCAACUCAGACAGUGCUGAUGUUGUUUUAUAUUCUCUACGCCAGAAGUACCGAGACACUGACAAGUUGAUAGUUCCCAGAUGGACCAAAACCAAAAUCCAUGAUGGAAAUAUUGAUUCCAAUGUGCUAAAUUGGUUCACGAGAUCAGGUGAGUGGCUGGAUCUUGGUGAGUAUGACUACAGGUUCUUUGGUAGCCAGUUCUCGGAGCUCGAGCGUGUAGCUAUUGAUCUUAACUAG
rnacentral:rRNA from 1 species